GACGAACGCUGGCGGCGUGCUUAACACAUGCAAGUCGAACGGAAAGGCCCCUUUGGGGGUACUCGAGCGGCGAACGGGUGAGUAACACGUGCGUAACCUUCCCUUGACUUCGGGAUAACUUCAGGAAACUGGGGCUAAUACCGGAUAGGAAUCCUUGCUGCAUGGAGGGGGUUGGAAAGCUUCGGCGGUGUUGGAUGGACUCGCGGCUUAUCAGCUUGUUGGUGGGGUAGUGGCUUAUCAAGGCUUUGACGGGUAGCCGGCCUGAGAGGGCGACCGGCCACAUUGGGACUGUGAUACGGCCCAGACUCCGACGGGAGGCAGCAGUGGGGGAUAUUGCACAAUGGGCGGAAGCCUGAUGCAGCAACACCGCGUGCGGGAUGACGGCCUUCGGGUUGGAGACCGCUUUCAGCAGGGGCGAAGCUUGUGGUGACGGUACCUGCAGAAAAAGCACCGGCUAACUACGUG
rnacentral:rRNA from 1 species